CUUGACCGAGCCGAGCCACAACGGCUCGUCGUCCGGGCGAUUACGGCCGUAGGUGGCCAACAGCGCCUGCGCCUC
rnacentral:antisense_RNA from 1 species